GGACCUAGGGGCUCCAGCAGUUUCCAGGCUCCCCUCGGCGGGGCUGAAUGAUCAAAACUGGUGGUGAGAAUUUUUCCGGGCCGUUUCUAGGCAGCCCUCCCCCUCCACCAGCUCCGACCCCCCCUCCCUCCUUUCUCCUUCUCCUCCCUUUUCCUUCCCCCCUCCCCCAGCGUCUGGGCUGAGUGAUCAAAAUAGAGGAAGAUGGUUGUCGCCGCAAUCCAGGGCUUUGCAAGGCGCGGUUUAAUGGGCCGCCUGUCAGCUUCCUGCUCGCAGGAGGAGGUGACAAGCCAAGCGAGCCGGGGAGGGCCUGGGGCCCGGCGGGCUGCACCCCGCGCCCCGGGCCCCGGCCCCCGACCUCCCCUGGGGUGCGCUUCUAGUACGCGCGGUGGAGACGCCGAAACAGACAAGGGCUGCUUUUUCCCUUGUUUUUUUUCUUCCUUUUAAAACAAAGCAGCGAUUCAUUCCCUCUCCCCCAGCAGCGCGGUCGGGUGGGAUGGGCAGGCGAGAAGGCCGUUUUCCUAGCACUGGCCUGCGGGUCCCUCCCUGAAACGCGGUGUCAGAUGGUUACUGAUUAAUAUUUUGGAGAGGCCGCGGCGGCGGGCAGCGGCAAAAUCCUUUCUGGGUUGAGUAGCCGUGAGCUGCCCGCGGCCGACCUACCUGACCGGGGGCGCAGGGAGUGCGGACCACGCCAGCAGAACUGUCCUGGGGGCCCCCGCACCCUCUCUGCAGCCCUGCAGGCCCCCGAGCCCGGCUAGGCAUUACGUACCCUGGAAAGGAAGCUUGGAGGGGCAGAAAUCCUUCCAAUCCUGCCUCGAAGAGCAACUGCGGUGAUAAGAUUUUAAUUAAAACAAGAGAAGCCCGCUCUUUCGCCUCGCGCUGCGGACUCAGCGUUUUCUCAUUGCCCGUUUUGUUUUUUUAAAUCAAUUUUUAAGGCAACUUUUCGGGAGGGGGGGAAAAUGAGCGCGUUAGUGCCCAUUCGUUCUAUUUUCUUUUCUCCACUUUUAGGAAAAAAAAAAAAAGUGGGGGGAGGCUUCGAGAACGAACUGGGGGUUGUCUAAUUUAAUUCCAGGAUAAAUUUGAGGAAAAAAGUUCAGCCUCUUGAGGGCAGUUUCAAGUUGCCCUUCCUGGAGCUUCCUGCGUUGGUUUCUAGGCUGCCCUCUUUUGGAAGCUGUAGCUCCGCUGGGGAGGAGGGAGGAGUGGAAAGGAAAGAAAGGAACGAAAAUAGCCGGAGCCGAGGGGAACAAGCCACGGUGUCCGCGUUUGGAGCUGGGCGUGCGGGUCUCAGUGGCGGCCUCGGCAUUCGGGGCGGCGAGAGGCGCCCGGUGCAUCCCCGGGACGGCCAGGAGCAAAGACGGAGAGGAGAGGGGGGUUAGAGAAAGGAGGUAUUGUGUCUGUGUGCCUUAGGGGAGGAGGGGACUGCAGGAAUCGAAUAAACGCAGUCGAGCUGCGCGGGGCUGCUGGAAGCCCAGGCGGGGGAAGGGGGCCGUGUGUGGGGGCGCAGAGCGCCCUUGAGCCUUACGCAGAGGUCUUGUGUGUUCCUAGUUAAGCCCUCCCACGCCCGAGGCCCCAUCGCUUCCUCUCCACUCACUUUACCCAAUAUUCCAAUCCCAGACCCUAAUUCUCCACCGCAUUACCCCUCCCCCUGGAUUUGGGGAAUGUUUUUCUUUAGUUUAAUAUAGCUCAAGGAAAAAAUAUGUAUAUCUUGAGAGAGUUGGGGUGGGGAAAACAAAAGGCUUGCGGAGUAGAAAAAAACAAAGGCCCAUUUUUAUAAAUGUUUAAUGUUUUCACCCCCUGGAUGCUACGAGACGCCGUAAUUGUGACGGCGGGGUACGUGUGCCAUAAAUCAUUUAGUUGCUAAUAAAAAUUCUGCCUGUUUGCCCUGGA